GUGGGGAAUAUUGGACAAUGGGCGAAAGCCUGAUCCAGCCAUGCCGCGUGUGUGAAGAAGGUCUUCGGAUUGUAAAGCACUUUAAGUUGGGAGGAAGGGUAGUAACCUAAUACGUUGCUACUUUGACGUUACCGACAGAAUAAGCACCGGCUAACUUCGUGCCAGCAGCCGCGGUAAUACGAAGGGUGCAAGCGUUAAUCGGAAUUACUGGGCGUAAAGCGCGCGUAGGUGGUUCAGUAAGUUGGAAGUGAAAUCCCCGGGCUCAACCUGGGAAAUGCUUUCAAAACUGCUGAGCUAGAGUACGGUAGAGGGUGGUGGAAUUUCCUGUGUAGCGGUGAAAUGCGUAGAUAUAGGAAGGAACACCAGUGGCGAAGGCGACCACCUGGACUGAUACUGACACUGAGGUGCGAAAGCGUGGGGAGCAAACAGGAUUAGAUACCCUAGUAGUCC
rnacentral:rRNA from 1 species